AAUAGAAGAAGUACCCCAGUUGGGUCAGUUCCAGGGAGGAGAGACAAUUGGGCUGAGUUUUCAGCUGAGGAUGAAGAAGAUUUGGCUAGAAGCUCCUCCUUUGGCUUGAGUAAUUUGUUCUCAACUUUCUCAAGGGCCCCUUGUAGUUUGUACAGCUCCUUCAAGCUAUUUGUCCAAUCUCCUAAUCCCUUGGAUCUUCAUUGUGAUCUGCUUGUGUCUCUCCCCUCGUCUCCUUUCGACCCAGGUUCGUCCUUCCUGUCUAUCAUAACAAAAACACAGUACUUUAUAUUGAGCACUGUUGAGAUUGUCUACUAAUAGUAUCUUUUUUCUUUUUUUUUUCUUUUUUUAUGAAAACUGAAAUACAUUAAAAGUUAGAUCCCGUAGGGAUCCUAAGACCAUACAAAUAAAAAUAAACUCUAGCAAGGACAUCCAAAGGGAAACGACUAAACCAAACACACGAGUUGUUAUAAUUGUGUCCUUUUUUUGCUAACUGAUCCGCAACCAUAUUAGCCUCUCUGACUACGAUCUAAAUAUUUAUAUUUCUGACGUCCCCUCUACUUAAUAGGUUUUAUCUGUAUUUGCCUGUGCAGAACAAUGGAGGAUGGUUUGUGUGACUCUAAACAAGAUAAUAUGGGAAGAACUGUGAUCUGCUUAAGCACUUGGGAGGUCGAUCGAGAAGAAAUGAGAGGACAGAUUCAAGUAGAUAUGGAGAACCGAGGGCCUAAUAAUUGAUCAAGUGACCAGUUGAUAUACGCUUAGUUUGAAAGAGUUGUAUAGGUUAAAGGGAGCUCUUGGGGAAGUUCAGGACAGAUUACUCAAGAGAAAGAAGGAGCUUCCAGUCAAGACUUCUUCAUCUCCUCAGCUGAGAAUCCUGCCGAAUUCUCUCGGACUACUUCCC
rnacentral:lncRNA from 1 species